GAGGUCUGUGGUGAUUUUAAUAUUCUUUGCCUAAUUCUUUUUGGAUUAUGUGGGCAUUUUUGGUCACUACCUCUUCUGAGACCC
rnacentral:snoRNA from 1 species